CAGAGUGUAGCUAAAUUAAAAGCAUUUCACUUACACCGAGAAGUUGCCUGUGCAAGUCGGGUCACUCUGA
rnacentral:tRNA from 1 species